rnacentral:rRNA from 1 species
GAUGAACGCUGGCGGCGUGCCUAAUACAUGCAAGUCGAGCGAACGGACGAGAAGCUUGCUUUUCUGAUGUUAGCGGCGGACGGGUGAGUAACACGUGGAUAACCUACCUAUAAGACUGGGAUAACUUCGGGAAACCGGAGCUAAUACCGGAUAAUAUUUUGAACCGCAUGGUUCAAAAGUGAAAGACGGUCUUGCUUUCACUUAUAGAUGGAUCCGCGCUGCAUUAGCUAGUUGGUAAGGUAACGGCUUACCAAGGCAACGAUGCAUAGCCGACCUGAGAGGGUGAUCGGACACACUGGAACUGAGACACGGUCAAGACUCCUACGGGAGGCAGCAGUAGGGAAUCUUCCGAAAUGGGCGAAAGCCUGCCGGAGCAACGCCGCGUGAGUGAUGAAGGUCUUCGGAUCGUAAAACUCUGUUAUUAGGGAAGAACAUAUGUGUAAGUAACUGUGCACAUCUUGACGGUACCUAAUCAGAAAGCCACGGCUAACUACGUG